AGGUCUGUGCUCAAGACUAGACCAUUAUCUCAAAAUAUGAGGACCGAGAGAAAAUAAACUCGAUCGAACUAGCUAUUUGUCCAAUUUCACUUCAAUUCUCAAUGCACAAAAACCCAAUCCAACUAUUACUAUUGCAUUUUUGUGUGUAGAGAUCAAUUAUCAAGAUGGUUCAAGAAAAAUCUUGGUCUAUUUUAAGAAUUUGUCAUGUAGAGAUCAACUAUCAGUCUCUAAUAUCUAAUCAUUGAAGGGAAAGAUAGUUUUAUAUAUUAGAAACUGAAAUUGUAAUGUAUAUAUUUUUAGUGUUCUAGAGUGGUUUUACAAA